GAUACCCUCGCCCCGCCUCCCUCGGCUCUAACAUUGCUGCGCUGUCAUUGGUCAAAUGUUGAACGCUGGGAAGAAUUCGCCAACGCGAUUGGUCCAGAAUGUUGGAGAAUGUUGGAGAAUGUUGGAAUAGCGAGAUGCCAUUGGCCGUAAUCUUCAACAUUACAGAAUUCUAAACAGACGAUCCAGCGGCUGCUGGCGUUCAGGUCGCAGUCUCCCCUGGAGGCGUGGGUUCGAAUCCCACUUCUGACAUGACGUGCUUUUCCCUGCCACUGUUGUCUGCCACAUGAUGCUGACAGAGAUUACUCAUCAAGUCUUUACACGGCAGGCGGCAUGAAGACAAUAAAACACUGUGCUCGUAGUACGGCGGGCGUGCCUGACACGCUAAACUGAGACGGUGCCGUUUGUGUGGCCUCUGACUCCUGCUUUUUGCACGUGUUGCUCUCAGCAAAGAAUGAACAUGCUGCUCUCAGCCUCAGCCCUCGUAGCUGACCACGUUACUUUAGACAGCCAGUUAAAGUUGCUUUUUCAUGCGGUCGUCUGUUUCACUGGUAUUUCUUAGUGCCUACCGUCUCUUGUUGUGUGCACAGUAACAACCAUACAUGUUGAUGGCAUGUAAGACCGUGUUCGACAGCUGUCUCUGGAAGCCAUGCGACGGUGCCAUGGUGUAAUGGUUAGCACUCUGGACUCUGAAUCCAGCGAUCCGAGUUCAAAUCUCGGUGGGACCUGCUUUUGAGGUGUCGCAGGUGCCUUGCGACUGGUCGGACGGCAAGCAACACAGGUGCCCAGCACCAGUGAGCCCUUGAACAAUCCAAGGGUUAUCGGGUCAGCCGAUCCUCCUGAAAGGUUCAGAGGCCACUGUAAAUUCCGGCUCGUACUAACCAUCAAAUGGAACUGUAGUCGCUCUUAACAGCGCAUGCAUGCCCUACUGAUGUAAAGCAUAGUGUACACAUUGGACUGGAAUUUGCUGAUGAAGGCAAAAGGCAGGGAUGAACCAAUGAACUCAUCCUGCUUUACUUACGGUACAUUGAUGACUGCUUGGUUGGCAAUUUGAUUUAGAUUGCCUCCAUUGUAGUAGGGAAGGUUAACCCUUCCUCAGCUCACCUCGGCUGGAGAGCAGCACGAGCUUGAAGCCCCUGUCCUUGUGGGUAAAACAAUUAGCUGCUGGUAGGAAGCAUAAGUCUCCCCGUCGGGGAAUCGAACCCCGGUCUUCCGCGUGACAGGCGGAGAUACUGUCCACUAUACUAACGAGGACGCGUGCCCUUGUGGUCCCUGGCACACGACCGCGGUCUUCCUGUCUUUACCAGGACAGUGCAGACAUUCCGAGGGAGGCAUGGCCAACUAUGGGGUCCAAUAUACGACACACAGCAGGUCCGGAGCCUUAGUUCCCCCUUUACUGAAGAGCCCACAAAAGCGCAUUGUGGGAGGCAGGGUCGCAGCCGGUGCCAAGCAGUUGGGUUGAACUCUUUCUUGUGUUAGAUAUUGAUCGUUGUCACAUAAUAAGAGCAACUGAGGGCUGGUGCAUUCGUCUCCUCUUGAUGGCUUUUCGUGCCUUCGUUGUGUAUGAAACACAUACGCAGUCUUUCACGAUGCUCUCAAAUAUCUGUGUGAGCAGACUGUAUGUGUUGAUGAGGGCGGUGGCGCUUACGGGCGCUUCCUUCAGGAUGGCUGUGCACAAAGCUGGGUGGGGGAAAAAUCUGAAAAUAGCCACAACAGGAAACUGGACUACACCGCUGCGCAGCAUCAAGACUCACCGGGGAUCGAGCGCAUGACAUGAAUCAUCGACCAACUGUGACGAAAGCACCGGUUUCCGUAGUGUAGUGGUUAUCACGUUCGCCUCACACGCGAAAGGUCCCCAGUUCGAAACUGGGCGGAAACACUUUGAUGCGUUGCUGUUGUUUCCAGUGGAGAUUGCCGCACUUAUCAGAAAGUGGCCAGUCGUAAGGAGUAGGUGUGGGACGGUCGUGAAGCUGCAGGAACGCAUUCUGGAACCAAGUCCGAAACAAAGCAUUUCAGAAGUCUCAAUUUAGCGUAUGACAAAGAGGAGGCAAUAUUGCAACUGCCACUCAAACAAGACAGUGUGCUGUACAAACAUCUAACAUCUUCGCAGUCCCACCGAGAUUUGAACUCGGAUCACUGGAUUCAAAGUCCAGAGUGCUCACCAUUACACCAUGGAACCAGCUUGAAGGUUGCGCACGCAGUUGUGAACAUGUUUCUCACUUGACUUCAGCCUACCUACUGUUGCGAUAGAUACUGCUCUGUAACAGGACUGAGCUCAAGUCCAAGCGACCAGAAACCUCAGCUAAGCCAAAGCUGUGUUCACAAACUAAAGGACUAGUAAUAUCAGCAGAGCAAUUGGUACUCAAGUUGUACACAUGAGCAAAGCCAGGUACCUGCAACUGGAUUUUUGUAGAAACUGCUUUGGCCUUCCAUUAGUCUUCCUCCCCACUGCAAGGAGCGAUGUCUUCGUCCUCCAGCCCAAAAGGUUGUUCUUGUUGUUGCCAGGUGAAAACAGUAGCAGUCUGCACCCUGAAUGGAGCCAAAAGGAAUGGAAGCUGCCUCAUCACAAGACUUGAAUAGCAGUUCCCCAACCCUAGACCUUCAUAGAGGACUUUUUCUCAUGUCUGCUGGAGACCACCUUCAACAUGGAACUGAAAAUGCCUCCUCUUAGCAUCUUUAUUUUUCUGUGUCAAAGCAGAUUAUUUUGCAUGUUUUAUCUUCAGACUAUUUACCCGUAAAUUAUGCACCAUGUUACUGUUGGUGAUUGUUGUAAACAUCAUUGUCAAUGUUUUUUUGUGUUGUUUACUUCAAUUUUCAAUAAAGACACAUUUUCUGUA